AUUGAACGCUGGCGGAAUGCUUUACACAUGCAAGUCGAACGGCAGCACGGGGGCAGCCCUGGUGGCGAGUGGCGAACGGGCGAGUAAUACAUCGGAACGUGCCCGGUCGUGGGGGAUAACGUAGCGAAAGUUACGCUAAUACCGCAUACGAUCUGAGGAUGAAAGCGGGGGACCUUCGGGCCUCGCGCGAUCGGAGCGGCCGAUGUCAGAUUAGGUAGUUGGUGGGGUAAAGGCCUACCAAGCCGACGAUCUGUAGCUGGUCUGAGAGGACGACCAGCCACACUGGGACUGAGACACGGCCCAGACUCCUACGGGAGGCAGCAGUGGGGAAUUUUGGACAAAGGGCGCAAGCCUGAUCCAGCCAUUCCGCGUGCAGGACGAAGGCCUUCGGGUUGUAAACUGCUUUUGUACGGAACGAAAAGGCUCUGGCUAAUACCUGGGGCUCAUGACGGUACCGUAAGAAUAAGCACCGGCUAACUACGUG
rnacentral:rRNA from 1 species